rnacentral:tRNA from 1 species
GUGCCCGUAGUUCAAUCGGUUAGAGCAUCCGCCUCAUAAGCGGCAGGUUGUGGGUUCGAGUCCCACCGGGCACA